AUCCAGCUGACGAGUCCCAAAUAGGACGAAAUGCGCGUUUUCCUGGAU
rfam:Trichobilharzia regenti genome assembly, scaffold: TRE_scaffold0019016